rnacentral:rRNA from 1 species
UACGGAGGGUGCAAGCGUUAUCCGGAUUCACUGGGUUUAAAGGGGGCGUAGGAGGGCAGGUAAGUCAGUGGUGAAAUCUCCGAGCUUAACUUGGAAACUGCCGUUGAUACUAUCUGCCUUGAAUAUUGUGGAGGUGAGCGGAAUAUGUCAUGUAGCGGUGAAAUGCUUAGAUAUGACAUAGAACACCAAUUGCGAAGGCAGCUCGCUACACAUAUAUUGACUCUGAGGCACGAAAGCGUGGGGAUCAAACCGG